UUGAGUUGAAAUGUAAAAUUAUUAAAAGCAAAACAGGAAACAAGUGUUUGCUCAGCCAGCCAUUUCCUAUUGACGGUUCUCUGUGUAAUGUGGUCUGUGAAGGAUUCACUGUUCACCCUUAAACAGAUUGAAAUGAUUCUUGGGGGGAAAUAACACCAAACCCAAGGGCUGUGUGGAAGCAAAGUUCAGCAUCGAGGCCCCCGAGUUGCUGUGGAGAGGCGGCUGUGAAGGCCAGGGGCAUCUCAGAGAUCAUCUCAAGUCAUGGGGCCUGACUUUUGUGAUGAGUGAAAGAAUCCAGGUCUCCUGAUUAAAAGUGCGUGCUUGGAUGUUACUGGGUCCAAAUAUUGGGUCAGCCACAUACUAGCUCUGUGGCCCUGGGCAGGUAUCUGCGAACUGACAUGAAGAACUGAAGAGAAUGCCAGCUUCAGGAUUGUUCCUGAGAGUCAAGUUGUACCAUGACUGUAUUGGCUCAGCAUUGUAGAACUCUUUCUUUCUGGCCGAUUCCAGAUCCGAUGAUGGAAGAAUUUGACCUUCCCAUUUUAAAGACCAGAGACUUGGAAUGGAUCCACUGCAGACAGGAUCUGAACCCUGGGAAGUUGGAGGACCGGUAUCUUUUUUGGAAAGAAGAUAUGGAGAAAAAGCCACUGGCCAGAUCAAUAGCUGCACACCAAGGUACCAGGAGCUGUACUAAUUUGCUCAAGCAAUGAAGCCACAUCUGGACAAGCAGCUGCAAUUGGAGCCACAAACUGUUUAUGCUCGACCUUAGCCUGGACAAUGAAAGAGCAUCGUGUCCCACAGAAGACACUCUGCCGUUGACGGGAUCAGCAUCUUUCAAGAGGCUGGAACCAUGUCCUCGGGCAACACCAAGGCUGAUGUCUUCCGGCUUUAUCUCACCAGAGGGGCAGAGAGAAGAAACUCUCUUCUUAGUUCCAAAACUCCAGGGAAGGACUUUCAUUGGCUUGCUCUGUAUCACAUGACCAGGAAAGCAAAGUUCUGUGUCAGAUAGGGAGAAAGUGAGCGCGAGAGAGGUGUAUGUGUGUGUGUGUGUAUUGGGGGUGGGGGUGUAUUGAAGACCAGACCUUCAAAAGAAAGAGGAGUUCUGGAUAGAUGUCCUCCUUUCUACUAUGUGAAUUUAGGCAAGUUACUUUAUCUUUCUGAGUCUCAGUAAAAUGGGAAUAAUUUCAUAGGAUUAUUGUGAGGAUUAGGUAAAAUAAUGUGUAUGAAACAUUUUGCACAUGGCAAAUAAUCCAGUUAUUGUUGUUAUUAUAGAGUUAAGCAUGUCAUGUUUCCAACUAUAAUGUAAGCUCUCCAAGGAUAGAUGUCCUGUCAACAUCUUAUGCCACUUUUAGCAUCUUAUGAAGCAUCCUUACAUAACAGGCACAUAGAAAAUAUUAAUAAAUACUUAUAUAAUAGCAUCUCUACUUGGGUGCUAAUAUAAAUCAAAUAUAUUGACUCCCUACUUACUGUUUAAUAGGUAGUAGAUACCCACCACAUCCUUGGCCUUAAUGUAGCCAAGAAAUUCUAAUGAGUUGUGUGUUUCUUUGUAGCAAUAAGUUAAGUAAGCAUAGCUGGCCUCCUGUGCACAGACGGAAAAAAAUUUUUUUUUCUUUGAGUUCUGUGUGAUCUUUGUUCUAGAACAGACGUGCAAACAGCCACUUGCUUGGAAUGCGUAUCGUUAGUUUAUGUCUGGCUGGUAGGAACUUCAUUGUUUUUAUUGCCUGUGUUUUACUUGAGGGAGAGACAACUAUUAGUGGGUUGGCCAUUGUUUUGUAUUUAUGUUCAACUAGGGGUUGGAGAAAGACAGGAGGCAGAUUCUCCAAGUCCUGGGGACUAGUAGAAGCUGUUAUCUCUAGUUACUUCUAAAUGACUUAAUCUUUCAGUGAGGAGGCAGCCUGGGCCUUGGAUCCCGGGACUUGCUUUACCUGCUUUUGCUUCCAAACCUUGGAGAAGCAGCAUUCUCUGAUCCCAGGCUCCUCUUUUAUCUUCUCUCUUGCCAAUCAAGGCAGUUCCCACAUCUAAUUUUUAGGACUUGUUCUUUAUUUAAAAAAUUUCCUGUAUUACCCCAGGUAGGUCUAAUAAGUUUUACUAGCUCUCACUCCAAUCUUAGCUUCUGCUACUUAUAUUUCUGGUCAUCAACAUUCAGGUAAGUUAUUUUGUUUGCUUGUUUUGGUCUGUGCCUAUCUUGUUCAGUGGAUUAAAAGCAGUGCCCUUGUAGGGGCAGGGCAGUCCCAGUCCUUCAGCCUCCCUAUGGAACAACAAGACCCUGCUUGGCCCCACUAGGCGUUCAUUCUCAGUGGCUCCAUCUGAAUCCAGUGGUCAGAGUCCUUGUGCCAAGCAGUGACUGACCAGACAGCUUUGACAAUGGCAAGGAAAACUCAGUAAAGCUACUGGCAACUGACCUUCUCAGAGGGAGAAUUCUGUGCUCCUGCUAUGUAAUUUGGGAUUUCUUAUGUCUUCUACGCCAGGAUGGAUUCAAACUUCCUUUGAUUUUUGUCUGAAAGUAUCUGCAUGAACAAUUGUUAUGCUUAAAAUACUCUUUGGUGCACAUGCAGAACCUCUAAAUUAUGUUACGUUGAGCAUUGGAGACACUGAAUUUUUUCCCAUACUUAAUUUUUUGCCUCAAAUCUCACAGAAGCAAUUUCAUUUUCUCCAAACCACCCUCAUUUAUACUUCUCUGAACAAUUUCCUUCCUAGAUUGACAGAGCAAACUGGGGAUUUGCAUAUUUAGAAAUUUUAGUUCCAGGCAACAGAAGUUAACUUAUCUGCGGAUUUACCCGUGGUGUUCAAAGCAACUACUGAUGUAUUUUUUGGCUGCUACUGUACUAGCCACUUAACAUCUGAUCUCAUUUUAGUCCUCAGAACAAAUUAGUAUCAUUUGAUCAUAUGAUCUCCAUGUCCAGGAAACUGAGUCCUAGAAAGGCUAAGUGACUAGCUCAAGAUAACACGGAUAAUAAGUGGCAGAGCCAGGAUUUGGACCUAGGCCUCCUCAGACUGAUGGCCGUGGUGGUGUAGUGGCAGAAUUCUCGCCUACCAUAGGGGAAACCUGGGUUCAAUUCCUGAGCAAUAUACCUCAAGCCCAUCUGUCAGUGGAGGUUUGCAUAUUGCUGUGAUGCUGAACAGAUUUCAGUGGAGGUUCCAGACUAGAAGGAAAGACCUGGCAAUCUAUUUCUGAAAAUCAGCCAGUGGAAACCUUAUAGAUCAUAACAGUCUGAUCCUGUGUGCAUGAAGUCCCCAUGAGCUGGGGGCUCAUGAUGGCAGCUAACAACAAAAACUCCUCAGGCCUAGCCCAAUUCUCUCUUCACUUUACUGCAUUGCUUUUCUUGUUGGCAGGAGAGAGAUUUGGGGGUAUUAUCUCAGUGCCUCUCAAGUCACACCAAACUGGCUUCUGUCUAGCUCCAAGGAGCCAGGCUGCAGUUUUGUGUAUAUAUAUUUGUUCUUCAGAAUGUUGGCCAUAGGACCUUUGGCCUCAAGGCCCUUAUCAUCCCUGUUUACCACUGAUUCUAGCAGACUUGGCCCUCUCUCUCAAUGUGAGUCAUGAGCAACACAGUUCACGAAGUUCUUGUUCGGAAUUCUGAUUACAGAUAACGGAUAAUCUCCCUGAACUGCCUUGAAGGAGAGCCGCUUCUUGGAAGUUGUCUGGGCUUCCAUGGAAUGGCAGAGUGGAACAGAUCUAUGAGGUUUUCUUGUCUGCGGUCUUUGGAAAGGAGCAUCCCCAGGCCUUUCUUCCAUGACUCCGCUUGGAGGGAUCAGUCCCUGGAGAAGGACAUCAUGCUUGGCAGAGUACAUGGUCAGCGGAAAAGAGGAAGACCCUCGACAAGAAGUCAUUAUGGACUAACUCUCACUAGCCCUGUCCAUUAGAGCCCUUGGGCCUCUCGGAACAUCGUGUCCUGUUGUACUUUCUAGGCCCUUGCUACUCAAAGUGCAGUCCCUGACCAGUAGCGUCAGCAUCACCUGGGAGCUUGCCGGGAAUGCAGAAUCUCAGACUCCAUCUGAGGACCUAGUCAGUCAAGAUCUGCAUUUUAACAACAUCCCCAGGGUGGCUCAAACAGUUAAGCACUUGGCUACUAACAAAAAAAGGUUGGUGGUUCAAAUUCACCCAGAGAUACCUCAGAGGAAAGGCCUGGAAAACUACUUCUGAAAGAUCACAGCCAUUGAAAACCCUACGGAGUGCAGUUCUACUUGAAAAAAACAUUGGGUACCCAUAAGUUGGAAUCAACUUGAUGGCAACUGGAUUGUUAUCGACAUUUAUUGUUUUACGUAUGUCAUCUGAUGCAAUUUCCAGAAGAACUCUAACUCUAUGAGGUCACUAGAUCAAAAGAACAUGAAGACUUCCUACAACUCACAGCUUCAAAUAUGAUUUUCAUAAAUCUACCCUAAGAAUGAAGUGGAAUGGGGGACUGUAGAAACUUAGAGCCAGGAAGUGGGCUCAGUCUAAUCCAAACCAGCAUGAAUAUUUAUGUCUGAACUGAGAUACCAUGAGGAAUACUAACUGCUGUUAUCAGAAGAAAGAAUUAAUUUCCUGAAAGGAGAGAGGUAUUCCAGGAUACUUACUUGCUCCUUUGCUUCCCAUAGGAUUCUUUCUCUUGCUCUGAGUCUCUCCUUGUGCAAAGUGGAUGCUCCUGAACUGGAAAUGUGAUUUGCAAAGCAAGGAAUGUAAGAGGACAUUGUGUCCUGUUAUCUUUCUCUUAGUUCAGCCUUCGCCAUAUGCAUAGCAGUGGCAGCACCAGCAAGUCACCGUUAAUGUAUUCCCACUGAUCUCAACUCCCCAGGCGUCAAUGACUCAACUGUUCCAUUGUUUGAAAUGUGCCAUUAACUCUGCUCCCUGAGGAAACAAUGAGGGUGACCCAGGCGGGCAGCUUGAGUACAUACAUAAGUCUUCUCCAACCUCCAAGUUUUAUAGUUACUCUCUAAUGGUGUUGCUAUUUUCUUCCCUUUAAAACACAUAAUCCAAAAAAGUCAUAAAAAUGAAAAAUCAACAGUAACCAUCGCUCUGUGAAGAUUGGGCAAAGGCUAUGAAGCCUCAUAGCAAGGACAGCAUCUUUCAAGGUUUUUGUAUUACAACCCACAUCAGGAAAUAUAUGGCACACUGAACUCAAUAUACAAUACUUAUGUAUACACAAAAAAUGGAGCUCCUGGGUGAUGCAAAUGGUUAAUAUGCUUGGUUGCUAACCUAAAGGUUGAAGGUUCAAGUCUACCCAGAGGUACCACAGAAGAAAGCCCUGGCAACCUACUUCUAAAACAUCAGCCUUUGAAAACCCUGUGAAGCACAGUUCUACUCUGACACACAUGGUGUCACCAUGAGUUGGGGUCGUCAUGAAUUGAAGUCGACUUGACCGCAACUUAUACACACAAAUACACAUAAAUAAAAUGGAAACAAAAUUUUACAAAAUAAUACUUAACCUUACUACUGCUAUUUUCUAUUCUGGGCUAUUUUAAAAAUGCUAUUUGAAAUCUAUUAAUGACUGUGACCUGGUCAGAAAAAGGGCUCCUGGAUCCUCUGAGGGCUGGUGAUUAGUUACAGCUAAUCCACAGUUCCCAUACCACCUUGAACAUUGCAUGUGGGUCCUGAAGAUUAAAUUUGUGCUGAGAAGGGAGAGUAGAAGCCAAGACUUGGGUUCUAGAGCUCUGGUUCAACCUUGAUUUUAUGUAUAUUUCAUUCAGUUGUUGAACAAAUACCUAUUGAACAUUACUAUGUUCAAGAUGGUGGGCAGGGUGAAUUCAUUGAUAACUAGUUUAUUGAGAAACUACUCUGUAUUACACGUUAUCUUAAUUAGUCCUCUUUGCAGUCCCUGAAAGGUAGGUAUUAUUAUUAUCUUGUUUUAUAAAUGAGAAAACUAAGGCUCAGAAAGGUUAAGUGAUCUGGCAGAGAUGGCGUGGUGCUAGAGCCUGUCGGAGAGAAGAACCCACACUUCCCUCUACAAUCUGGUACCUUGGAAACAAGCAAAUAUACACACACAAGCCAUACAUACAAAACAGUUGGCUGCUGACUCUCAGUUUAAAAGUUUAUAUUCUGGUGCCCCUGCAAAUAUUUUAGGAAGACCGCCCUCUAGAAAACCCUGGAAGAGAUGUCUCGGUUUCUGUCCUCCAGCUUCCAGAUUUCCAGGGACUACCUGGACAAAAUUAAUCAGUCACUUGGAGAAGAGCUGUGAGGGCGGAUGGAGCACAGAGCUGAGGUGGUUUCUGGAAUCCUUCUCCCCCUCCCCAUCUCCCAGUGGCUUCAGCUGUCUUCUAACCUCUGGGCUGGAGUGUGGAGUUAGAGGGAGUGGCUGGUAAAUUGCAAGAAAGAAAAUGAGGGUGCAAGGGGCAUAUUGUGGGGAGAAAGCAGUAGGUCAAGUAGGCUGGGAUUCCCCAGAAGUUCUUACCCUCUGAUUUUUACCUCCCUCAGCCACCCAGAAUGCUGUGGUGAAUUUUUCUUUCUUUCUUUUUUAAUUGUGGCCAAUUUUGUAUCCAAUCAACAGCAGCCAAUUCAUGCUACUUAUCAUUUUACAGUCCUCUCUGUUUGAUUUCUCCUUUUACAAGGUACCUUCUCAGUUUAUCUUCAAUCCCCCAAAGACACAGACACAUAGAGGAAGGAAUACUAGUCUUGGGGCUGUUAUUAAAAGUUGUUUGACUUUCUCUUUCUGAAGCUGUCUCUCACUUCUCACCACAUUGUUUUUGGAUAAUGGUGCAGAAGCAUUUUUGCAAAAUAUACAAAGGAAGAAGCCAUUUUCUAGCUGCAACCUGGGGGACCAAAAAUCACUAGCUUACCUUUAUGGUUUUUUAAAAGAAAGAUUCCUUUAGGUGGCUGAGAUACUAAAAUAGCCUUUCUGUUUUCCAAGAAAGCCUAGCAUUGUGGAAACCGGGACUCCAAAAUGAGUUGACUAAUUAAGCCACUGCAUACAGGCCUAUCAGCAAGCAGUACCAGAAAAAAUUAUGACUGGUUCUGCUAAAAUUGUGAGAUUCCCUUUUGAUAACCAAGCCAGUAUGGCUGGAACCCAGUGCAUGGAGAGGACAGUGGUAUGAGUUGAGGUGGGAAAUCUGGGCAGGAUGCUCAUCUUAGAGGGCCUUGAGUAGACUGCAGAAGGACACUGGGCAGUUUCCAAGUGCAGUGUGUUGCUGCUUAAAGUAAACAGGUGCUUGUUUUUCUGGCAACAAUGGGGGAUGGGAUGGGGUGGGAGUGGACUUGGAGGUCACACUGCCUCUUCUGUGUAGGAAGCCUUGUCCAGAUCGGAAGAACUGAUGUUUCAACACUCAGGCCACCAGCUGUUUGAUAACGCAGACCUCUCAUUCUCCUGCCACUGCUCCUGCAGGAUGAGCGCACAGGAGUGAGGAAGUGCUGGGUGCAUGUGCCUAGAGCCUCUGUGCUGGGGAUCUUCUCCUCUUAUAUCCUCGUGACCUGGGACCGCUGCAGAUCUGUUUCCCACUCAGGAAGAAGAGAAAUGGGCUGAUUAGAGAUGGGAGAGGAAACCCAGGCCUAUUUCCAACAAUUAUUCCUAGUUCUCAAAGAAAAUGACUGAAUAAUCACCACCUCCCACAAAGGUGUCCAUGUCCUGAUUCCCUGAAACCAGUGACUAUGUUAUCUUAUAUAGCAAAAGGGACUUUGCAGAUGUGAUUAAGUUAAGUAUCUUGAAAUGGGGAGGUUAUCUUGAAUUAUCCAGGUGGGACCUAAAUGUGAUCACAAGAAUCCUUAUAAAAUGGAAGCAAGAAGGUCAAAGGAGAAAGUAGGAGAUGUGGAGGAUGGAAGCAAAAGGCUGGAGUGAUGUGAGGAAAGGGCUGUGAGCCAAAGAAUGCAGGCAGCCUCCAGAAACUAGAAAAGAGCAGGAAAUAGAUUCUCUCCUAGCACUUCCAGAAGGACCCAGCCCUAGUGAACCUUGACUUUAGCUCAGUGAACCUAGCUUCAGACUUCUGGCCUUCCGAACUGUGAGAAUAAAUUUGUGUUGUUUUAAGCCAGAAAGUUUGUGGUAAUUUGUUAGAGCAGCAACAAGUAACUAAUACAUUCCCUAUUCUCCCGCUUUCCUCAAACUUCCCAAUGGCUUAAUUCAUUCACUCUUAGGGGGCCUCCAGUCUUUUGGGAACAAGAGCAUGGGUACUGAAGCCUCACAGAACUAGUUCCAUUCUGAGCCCAGCCACUUAUCUGUUUGGGUGUCGUUGGUUAAGUCAUUGCCUUUACUCUUCACAUUUAUAAAGUAAGAAGAUAAUGCUUACCUUGCAGAGAGGUUACAUGUUUAAAGACAAUGUACACAAAGCAUUUAGUAAGGCACCUGCCACAUAGCUGGCAUUCAUGCAUGGUAUUGGGAAACUCCAGGGCCAGGAAAGCAGGGUUCAGUCUCUAUUGCCUAGAGCUGGGAAUCUUAGACCUGAGAUUGAUAGGCUGGUAUCCUUUCAGGGGUGGAGGUGUAUUUGAGUGGACUUGGAUGGCACACCACCUCCUCUGUGUAAGAAGUCUCAUGCAGGUUGACAGGGCUGAUGUUUCCACACUGAAAUGCAGGCUGAUGAAGGGCCGUAUUUGGUCUGUGAGCAGAGUGAGCUCCUUUCACUAUGUAGUGCCAUGCUGACCCCAGUUCCCCUACCGGGAAAGAGAUAGUUCCAUCCUUGUCCUUGCCCAGCCCAGCAUGGACAUGCCAAGACUCUAGUCAUUGUAGUUGUCCGUGAGCCAUGAGAACGGGGAGAUGAGAGAGGGAAGACCAUGUGCAAAGCUCCAUGCCACUUCACAACCCUGAUGUGGGUGGAAAGCAAAGCCAUUGGCUAUGGAAGGGCUUCAGCUGUUUGCAUUCCUGCCCACAUAGUGCCUGCUUCUUGGAGAACAGGAAACUAUUUGUGGCAAGGGGAAGGGGACUGUAUGUUCCUAGUUUGGGGCUCUGAAUCUGAUUGACUCCUGGUGAUAGGAGCUGUGGCAGUUGGACAUACCCAGAAGGAAACUUCCAGUGAAACGGCUGUUACCCUUGAGACAAUAUUUUGCGAAAUCAAAAAACAAACAUUCUCUGAAUAUCACCUGAAGAACUGACUUAAAACAAGCUUCGUGUCCAGGAACAUAUCACCUGUCAGAAAACAAGUUCCAUAUAAGGAGUUUCAUUAACCAGGCAUGGCAGGCAGGUGCCCAGACAUGCCUUUUCUGUGGUACAACUCAUCCCUAGGCAGGAGAUCGAUCAGGAACAAGUCCGGCUUGUUCUGUUCUACCAGCCUAAGGCAUUGAAAGCAGGGCUGUCCUUAGUCCAGGAGACCUUCCCCAUCUCUCCAGGGACAGUCUUGCUAAUCCCUCCUAUGGCCGCUGCAAACUUCUCCUUCUUCUAUCCCCAAAUGCAAUGUCCCCACAGGCCUGUUGUUGGUUUGGAAAAUCUAAUACUACAGUCCUAGGAUCUUAGAGUUGGGGAGGUCCUUAGGGUCCACAAAGAAGCAAAACAAAACCCAUCCAACUCACAGCAACCCUAUAGGACAGAGUAGAACUGUCCCAUAGGGCUUCCAGGGAGCAGCUUGUGGAUUCGAUCUACCAACAAUGUGGUUAGUAGCUGAACUUUAAACCACUAUGCCACAGGAGUCCAUACCAUGCCUGUACCAUACUCGAUUCAUAGUAACCCUAUCCGGCAGAGUAGAACUGCCCUAUAGGGUUUCCAAGAAGUGAGUGACUGCUGGAUUCGAACUGCUAACCUUUUGGUUAGCAGCAAUAGCUCUUAACCACUGCUCUACCAGGUCUUCGGAGGAGUCAGUAGACUUACAUAAUUUUACAUGAGGGAAUUGUGCCCAUUGGGUGACUUGCCCAAGGUUACACAGACAAUUAGUGACAGAUCAAGGGUAAGCUCUGAGCUCUGCUAAAUCCUGGUCUAUGCUCUCACCCUGCAGCAUGCUGAGCCAUGACUUCAGACCCUUUAGAUGUCAAUGCUAAAAUGCAAUGGCAUUUAGCUGAUCAGAUUAACCAAGUGACCCCUAGCACAGAGCAGGUGCAAAGAGCUGAAUAUAUUUUUUGAGGCUUGAAGGGUUUGGCAGUGAAGUAUUGCUACGGGAGCAAGGGGCCUAUAAAGCCCUGUGCCAAAGCCAAAUCUUGCCCUGAGUUUGUUGGGUGGCAAAAUUUCUGGUGUCUUUAUUCUCAGACCAUUUUCUGUUCUAAUCACUAGUGAAUCAGGUACAUUCUAGAGCUUCAAAGUCAAACAGGUACAGAUUCUAGACUUACCUAAAUUUUCAGAGGAGGAAAGGCCUUAGGUACUAUUUAGUCCAACUGCUUCCUUUUUUACAGAUGGAGGCAAAUGGAGACUCCAAAGAGGUUAAGUGAUUUGUCUACAGCAGUGUUACCCAGUAGAGCUUUCUGCAAUUUUGGAAAUGUUCUAUAUCUGUAUUGUUCAAUGUGGCAACCACUAGCCUCAUGUUGCUAUUGAUUUCUUAAAAUGUGACUAGUGCUAUUAAGGAAUCCUUGGAUAGUUCAAAUGGUUGAUGCAUUUGGCUGAAAACCAAAAGGUUGGAGGUUUAAGUCUACCCAGAGGUGCCUCAGAAGAAAGGCCUGGCAAUCUACUUCCAAACAAUCAGUCAUUGAAAACCCUAUGAUCUCCAUAAUAAAAAAAAAAGAAAACCCUAUGAAGGACAGUUCUACAUAUGGAGUUUCCAUGAGUUGAAGUUAACUCAACAGGAACUAUUUUUUUUUAUUUGUUUGUUUUAAUGCUACUGAGGAACUAAAUAUUUUGCUGUAUUUAAUUUUAAUUCAUUUAGAUUUAAAUUGACACAUGUGGCUAGUGACUACCAUAUUGAACAGUGUAGGUCUAAGGUC